CGGGACGUUAAGCCUCCAGAUCCUCUCGGACCGUAGCUGGGCAGACAUUGCAAGUCAGGAGGGUGAGAAUUGGAAAAGGAGGUUAACCAUCCCGCACUUUUAUGCCUUCCGCAGCCCGAGCCGACCCAUACUUAUUCGGAAAUCUUACAUCAGUUCCAUGGACCCUGUAAUCCGAUCCCUUCUGACUCACUAGCCCUGAGUGACAUUUCUGAUUCGGUUCAACAACAACAAAAAGAGGAAAGAAAAGAAGGGAAAGAAAAACAUUCAACGCUCAUACUCACGUGUUCGAAAAGUUGUCUGUUUGCUGCUUCCUUUGCCGCCGCCGCCUCCCGUCCAAGUUUUACAGAUGUUGCGGGGCUGUCCUGCUCCUAACACCGCUACCCCCCUCCCUCCCUCCCCCCGCCUUCUCCUCCCCCUUUCGGUUAGUAGGGGAGGGGAGACAGUCUACCCGGGAGAGAGCGAUUUCGCUGCUCUCGAGUCCGGUAGAGCAGUGGCUCGCUCAACUUUUUUGUGUGUAUCUCCACGUGUGGGAGGAAGAAAAAGAAAUCCCUCCCCCCUCUAUUACAUUUCGAGUUGCUGAUCACUUCUCUGUCGGGGAGGUCUCCUCUGCUUGCAGGGAGGGAGACCAAGCGCUUUAGCACUUCUGAACUCUUUCAUUUAAAAAGUAAAAAAGGCGGGACGGAGGAAUGGCGGGAAUCUGAAAGGCGUGAGCCACUCGGGUGGUUAGGCCCCAGUUGUCCUCGCACUUGGGAACGGAAUGAAGCAGAAUAGAGGGGCUGGGGCUAGAGGGCUGUUUCUUUCUCACACACGCAGACUUUUCCUUUCUCUGCCUCCACUUUUCCCUUACCAAGGCUUGCACUGAGAAGCCACUCCCACAGCUGGGAGGAACAACGAGAGAAGUUAGAUGCCCUCUGUCAGACGGGUUUCCCUCUUCCUUCCCUCGGCAUUAACUUUUCCCUCUCCUAACUUUAACCUGCCUCAUAUCUUGCCUCUUACAGAUAUCCCCCCGCCGCUGCAGCCUUCCUUCAGGCUUACGUGGCUCCUUCUUCUUGUAAUUCUAGCACAUUAGUUUUAAAGAAUGUCAACCCCAGAUGAUAAAACGCACACGCGUACACACACACACAAGCUAAUCAAGAUUCUCAGAUAGAUAACACUGUCCAUGUGUGUCUUGUCACUCCUGUUUUACUUUUGUACUUAUUU